UUGCGGCCUGGUAUUAUAAGCAGGACUCUCCUAAACUGCAAUUUGAAGUCUCACCCGUGGAGUGGACGCACUGCCCGGGACCUUGCCCAGUUGGGACUCUAGAUUGCUGUUUUCAGGACUUCCCAGGGCCGUUCGAGUCUGGAUGCCCAGCUUACAAAGCAGUGUAUCAGAAUUACCUGUGGGGUAAACGAACAAACAGCAGCAGAAGAAGCACCAACACGGCUGUUCCCAGACAACAGAUAAUGUGAAGGAGAAGGUCAGGAGAAGAAUGAACAGAUUAUCUUCAUGAGCAAGGAAAACUGACUUCCUUUUCUUGAAGGCAAGGCCUCUGCUGCUGGAGACAGGACAUCCAACAACUUCCAGCCCUGGCAUCUGUGCAGGCAGAAACACUCACCGCCAGAAAUGGAAUCUUACACGAGUUGAUCAAGAAUUACCUGACCGGGGCUUCCCUGGUGGCGCAGUGGUUGAGAAUCUGCCUGCCAAUGCAGGGGACACGGGUUCGAGCCCUGGUCUGGGAAGAUCCCACAUGCCACGGAGCAACUGGGCCCGUGAGCCACAAUUACUGAGCCUGCGCGUCUGGAGCCUGUGCUCCGCAACAAGAGAGGCCGCGAUGGUGAGAGGCCCGCGCACCGCGAUGAAAAGUGGUCCCCACUUGCCACAACUAGAGAAAGCCCUCGCACA